rnacentral:rRNA from 1 species
UACAGAGGUCUCAAGCGUUGUUCGGAUUCAUUGGGCGUAAAGGGUGCGUAGGUGGCGUCGUAAGUCAAGUGUGAAAUCUCGGGGCUUAACUCCGAAACUGCAUUUGAUACUGCGGUGCUUGAGGACUGGAGAGGAGACUGGAAUUUACGGUGUAGCAGUGAAAUGCGUAGAUAUCGUGAGGAAGACCAGUGGCGAAGGCGGAUCUCUGGACAGUUCCUGACGCUGAGGCGCGAAGGCCAGGGGAGCAAACGGG